GACGAACGCUGGCGGCGUGCCUAAUACAUGCAAGUAGAACGAGUUGCGAACGGGUGAGUAACGAGUGGUAAACUGCCUCAUAGGGGGGGAUAACUAGUGGAAACGCUAGCUAAUACCGCAUACUUUGAGAUGGACCUGCGUUGUAGUAGCUAGUUCGUGAGGUAAAGGCUCACCAAGGCGACGAUACAUGGCCGACCUGAGAGGGUGAUCGGCCACACUGGGACUGAGACACGGUCCAGACUCCUACGGGAGGCAGCAGUGGGGAAUAUUGCACAAUGGGCGCAAGUCUGAUGCAGCCAUGCCGCGUGAAUGAAGAAGGCCUUCGGGUUGUAAAGUACUUUCAGCGGGGAGGCGUUACCCGCCGAAGAAGCACCGGCUAACUCCGUGCCAGCCGCCGCGGUAAUAC
rnacentral:rRNA from 1 species